UAUUCAUUCUUAAGUGUUCAAUGAAUUUAGUGUUUUUCAGUACCUUCUGACAGUGAAAGACAGUUUUACUGAAGAACGGGGACUUUUGCAUGAGGUUUGAUGAAGAUUGGGCAGUUGUGGAGAAAUGUGAUAGGACAAAGAAUAUGAGUUGACACACAUUACUACCUGAAAGGUUCCUGUUGGUUUGGAAACAGAGGUGAGGAGAAGAAAAAG